CAAAAACAUUUUUUAAUGUUGUUAUAUUAAAUAUAACCUGCUCUCUGUAAAUCAAUAAAAAGCCGCAGAAAAUUUACUGUGCUAAGGUAGCAUAAUCACUUGUCUUUUAAUUUAAGACUAGAAUGAAAGGUAUUACAUUUAAUAAUAUAUUUUAUUUCAAUUUUUUAAACUUUCACUAAAAAUUAAAAUAUUUUUAUUUUCAUAAAAGACGACAAGACCCUAUAGAACUUAACUGAAGUUAAGCUGGGGAAGCUUAAUAAUAAUUAUCUUAAUUAAAUGAAUUUAUUUAAUCAACACCCAAAACAAUGAACUUUUAUCAAGUUACCUAAGGGAUAACAGCGUUAUAUUAUUUUUAAGUUCAUAUUAAUAUAUAAGUAUACGACCUCGAUGUUGAAUUAAUUUUACUUAUUCAUGCAAGAAUAAAAAAAGGAAGUCUGUUCGACUUUUAAAAAAUUACAUGAUCUGAGUUCAAACCGG
rnacentral:rRNA from 1 species